GAAGGGGCUGUAGCAGUAGAGUAGCCUUGUUGCUACGAUCUGCUGAGGCUCAGCCUUUGUUCUACAGAUUUGUCCUUUUGGACUUCCUAUACCGUUAUGGUCAGGGGGGUUUCACUGAAUACCUCUAGCUGUAUAGAAAGUUUGACAGUUCAAGUCAUGUUGGGUAGUGCGUACGAGUACAAGUUCAGGUCUACAGACUGUGGUCACGUCUGGUGCAGGUCUACAGACCUGUGGUGAGGUCUAGUGCAGGUCUAGUACACGUCUGGUCAGGUAGGGUACGACUUCAAGAGUUUCGAGGAUGCAAGUUGGGGUGUUCGAGAUGGUGGUAGGGUGACUGGGGGGCUCUACAUCUACACUUAGCCGGGUCUACUGCAGUGCAAGUUCCAGAAAUGGAGCAUACACUGUGCUAGGCCCGGCUUUCGUGUCACUUUUUUCUGGGUCGAACCCCUCAAGUACGCUCUUUUACCUUAUAGAUAUCCACGGCCAUAGGACUGAGAAAAUACCGCAUGCCGUCCGAUCUGCAA
rnacentral:misc_RNA from 1 species